GAUGAACGCUGGCGGCGUGCCUAAUACAUGCAAGUCGAGCGAACGGACGAGAAGCUUGCUUCUCUGAUGUUAGCGGCGGACGGGUGAGUAACACGUGGAUAACCUACCUAUAAGACUGGGAUAACUUCGGGAAACCGGAGCUAAUACCGGAUAAUCUUUUGAACCGCAUGGUUCAAAAGUGAAAGACGGUCUUGCUGUCACUUAUAGAUGGAUCCGCGCUGCAUUAGCUAGUUGGUAAGGUAACGGCUUACCAAGGCAACGAUGCAUAGCCGACCUGAGAGGGUGAUCGGCCACACUGGAACUGAGACACGGUCCUGACUCCUACGGGAGGCAGCAGUAGGGAAUCGUCCGCGAUGGGCGAAAGCCUGACGGAGCAACGCCGCGUGAGUGAUGAAGGUCUUCGGAUCGUAAAACUCUGUUAGUAGGGAAGAACAUAUGUGUAAGUAACUGUGCACAUCUUGACGGUACCUAAUCAGAAAGCCACGGCUAACUACGUG
rnacentral:rRNA from 1 species